rnacentral:rRNA from 1 species
AGGACGAACGCUGGCGGCGUGCUUAACACAUGCAAGUCGAGCGGUGAUCCUCCUUCGGGAGGUGAUCAGCGGCGAACGGGUGAGUAACACGUGGGCAACCUGCCCCUCACACUGGGAUAACCUCGGGAAACCGGGGCUAAUACCGGAUACGACCUCGAGCGGCAUCUCUUGAGGUGGAAAGCUCCGACGGUGAGGGAUGGGCCCGCGGCCUAUCAGCUUGUUGGUGGGGUAAUGGCCUACCAAGGCGACGACGGGUAGCCGGCCUGAGAGGGCGACCGGCCACACUGGGACUGAGACACGGCCCAGACUCCUACGGGAGGCAGCAGUGGGGAAUAUUGCGCAAUGGGCGAAAGCCUGACGCAGCGACGCCGCGUGAGGGAUGGAAGGCCUUCGGGUUGUAAACCGUCUUUCAGCAGGGACGAAGCGAAGUGACGGUACCUGCAGAAGAGCACCGGCUAACUACGCGCCAGCAGCCGCGGUAA